rnacentral:ncRNA from 2 species
UUUCGCCCUCACAUUUCAGGUGCCUUCAAGCGUCUUUCUUGAAGGUUAAACGGGAAGCUGGUGCGUUUCAAACUAAUUAAACAAUGCCAGCACUGCCCCCGCAACGGUAAAUGAGUAAAUUAUCUGCAUCAUGCCACUGUGAACGAUUUCACGGGAAGGCGCAGAUCUGGAAUUUAUUCCGCUCAUGAGUCCGGAGACCGGCCUGAAGUAAACAUACUGC